UACGUAGGGUGCAAGCGUUGUCCGGAAUUAUUGGGCGUAAAGAGCUCGUAGGCGGUUUGUUGCGUCUAUCGUGAAAACCUGCGGCUUAACUGUGGGCUUGCGGUGGAUACGGGCAGACUUGAGUUCGGUAGGGGGAGACUGGAAUUCCUGGUGUAGCGGUGAAAUGCGCAGAUAUCAGGAGGAACACCGGUGGCGAAGGCGGGUCUCUGGGCCGAUACUGACGCUGAGGAGCGAAAGCGUGGGGGAGCGAACAGG
rnacentral:rRNA from 1 species